GAUGAACGCUAGCUACAGGCUUAACACAUGCAAGUCGAGGGGCAGCAUGGUCUUAGCUUGCUAAGGCCGAUGGCGACCGGCGCACGGGUGAGUAACACGUAUCCAACCUGCCGUCUACUCUUGGACAGCCUUCUGAAAGGAAGAUUAAUACAAGAUGGCAUCAUGAGUCCGCAUGUUCACAUGAUUAAAGGUAUUCCGGUGGACGAUGGGGAUGCGUUCCAUUAGAUAGUAGGCGGGGUAACGGCCCACCUAGUCUUCGAUGGAUAGGGGUUCUGAGAGGAAGGUCCCCCACAUUGGAACUGAGACACGGUCCAAACUCCUACGGGAGGCAGCAGUGAGGAAUAUUGGUCAAUGGGCGAGAGCCUGAACCAGCCAAGUAGCGUGAAGGAUGACUGCCCUAUGGGUUGUAAACUUCUUUUAUAAAGGAAUAAAGUCGGGUAUGGAUACCCGUUUGCAUGUACUUUAUGAAUAAGGAUCGGCUAACUCCGUG
rnacentral:rRNA from 1 species